GAAAGUAAGCAAGGGCAGACGGUGGAUGCCUUGGCUCUCGGAGGCGAUGAAGGACGUGAUAAGCUGCGAUAAGCUUGGGGUAGGUGCAAAUAACCUUUGAUCCCAAGAUUUCCGAAUGGGGCAACCCGGCUGGUGGAAGGCCAGUCAUUCCGUAAGGAAGGCGAACGUGGGGAACUGAAACAUCUAAGUACCCAUAGGAGAAGAAAACAAAAGUGAUUCCGCAAGUAGUGGCGAGCGAACGCGGAACAGCCCAAACCGAUGAUGUUUAGGCAUUGUCGGGGUAGUAGGACCACGUUGUGGCAAGAGAUUAAUGAAGUAGAACGUUUUGGAACAAACGGCCGUAGACGGUGAAAGCCCGGUAUACGACUCUUUAACGAAGCCUAGUGGAAUCCUGAGUAGCGCGGAGCACGAGAAAUUCUGUGUGAAUCAGCGGGGCCCAUCCCGUAAGGCUAAAUACUCCCGAGAGACCGAUAGCGAACCAGUACUGUGAAGGAAAGGUGAAAAGCACCUCGAACAGAGGAGUGAAAUAGUCCCUGAAACCGUCUGCCUACAAGCGGUCGGAGCACAUUAAAGUGUGACGGCGUGCCUUUUGCAUAAUGAACCUACGAGUUACUUUCUCCGGCAAGGUUAAGGGCUUCAGGCCCGGAGCCGAAGCGAAAGCGAGUCUUAAUAGGGCGUGAUAGUCGGAGUGAGUAGACGCGAAACCAAGUGAUCUACCCUUGGUCAGGAUGAAGGUUGGGUAACACCAACUGGAGGUCCGAAUGGGUAUACGUUGAAAAGUGUUCCAAUGAACUGAGGGUAGGGGUGAAAGGCUAAUCAAACUUGGAGAUAGCUCGUACUCCCCGAAAUGCAUUUAGGUGCAGCCUUUAUUUAGUAUAGCAUGAGGUAGAGCGACUGAUUGGAUGCGAGGGCUUCACCGCCUAUCAAGUCCAGAUAAACUCCGAAUGCGUGCUAUAUAUUGAUAAGGAGUGAGGGCGCGGGUGCUAAGGUCCGCGUCCGAGAGGAGAAGAAUCCAGACCAUCAGCUAAGGUCCCCAAAUAACAGUUAAGUUGAACUAACGAAGUCGGACUGCAGAGACAGCUAGGAUGUUGGCUUGGAAGCAGCCAUUCAUUUAAAGAGUGCGUAACAGCUCACUAGUCGAGGAGUCCGGCGUGGAUAAUACUCGGGCAUAAACUGUUUACCGAAGCUAUGGAUGUAGAAAUACAUGGUAGGGGAGCAUUCCAACGGCGUCGAAGGUGAAGGAUGACCUUUGCUGGAGCUUUUGGAAACGCAAAUGUAGGUAUAAGUAACGAUAAAGGAGGUGAGAAACCUCCUCGCCGAAAGACUAAGGUUUCCUGAUCAACGUUAAUCGGAUCAGGGUAAGUCGGGACCUAAGGUUAAGCCGAACGGCGAUACCGAUGGAAGAAUGGUUUAAUAUUCCCAUACUACUUUAUGGAGCGAUGUGGAGACGGAGAAGUGAAAGUCCUGCCAUCUGACGGAAUAGGUGGUUGAAGAGUGUAGAUGUAGAUUCCUGUAGGCAAAUCCGCAGGGAGAGUCGACCUUGACAGUAUGCCGCGUGCUUGCACAAGGCAAAAUGGACGUAAUCAGGCUCCCAAGAAAAUCCGCUAAGCAUAUUCAUAAAGUACCCGUACCGUAAACGGACACACGUAGUUGGGUUGAAAAUACUGAGGCGCUCGAGUGAUUCACGGUUAAGGAACUAGGCAAAUUGACCCUGUAACUUCGGGAUAAAGGGUCCCUACUGAGAGGUAGGGCGCAGAGAAUAGGUCCAGGCAACUGUUUAACAAAAACACAUGGCUGUGCGAAAUAGAAAUAUGAAGUAUACAGCCUGACACCUGCCCGGUGCUGGAAGGUUAAGAGGAGAGCUCAUCGCAAGAGAAGGCUUGAAUUGAAGCCCCAGUAAACGGCGGCCGUAACUAUAACGGUCCUAAGGUAGCGAAAUUCCUUGUCGGGU
rnacentral:rRNA from 1 species